rnacentral:pre_miRNA from 11 species
CUUGCUCAAACCAUCUUGGGAGGUCAUUGCCAUCUUACUGGGCAGCAUUGGAUGUUUUCUGUCUUUCUAAUACUGCCUGGUAAUGAUGAUUGUGGCCUUCUCACGCCCAGCAUGAAACGU